GUAGUGGUGGAGACUCUCCUUGAUGUGAUGAGGUACUGGUGGAGACUCUCCUUGAUGUGAUGAGGUAGUGGUGGAGACUCUCCUUGUUGUGAUGACUGUAGUGGUGGAGACUCUCCUUGAUGUCAUGACUGUAGUGGUGGAGACUCUCCUUGAUGUGAUGAGGUAGUGGUGGAGACUCUCCUUGUUGUGAUGACUGUAGUGGUGGAGACUCUCCUUGAUGUGAUGACUGUAGUGGUGGAGACUCUCCUUGAUGUGAUGAGGUAGUGGUGGAGACCCCCUUGAUGUGAUGACUGUAGUGGCUAGAGACUCUCCUUGAUGUGAUGACUGUAGUGGUGGAGACUCUCCUUGUUGUGAUGACUGUAGUGGUGGAGACUCUCCUUGAUGUGAUGACUGUAGUGGUGGAGACUCUCCUUGUUGUGAUGACUGUAGUGGUGGAGACUCUCCUUGAUGUGAUGACUGUAGUGGUGGAGACUCUCCUUGUUGUGAUGACUGUAGUGGUGGAGACUCUCCUUGAUGUGAUGCUGUAGUGG